CCUACGGGUGGCAGCAGUGGGGAAUAUUGCACAAUGGGCGCAAGCCUGAUGCAGCCAUGCCGCGUGUGUGAAGAAGGCCUUCGGGUUGUAAAGCACUUUCAGCGGGGAGGAAGGCGGUGAGGUUAAUAACCUCAUCGAUUGACGUUACCCGCAGAAGAAGCACCGGCUAACUCCGUGCCAGCAGCCGCGGUAAUACGGAGGGUGCAAGCGUUAAUCGGAAUUACUGGGCGUAAAGCGCACGCAGGCGGUCUGUCAAGUCGGAUGUGAAAUCCCCGGGCUCAACCUGGGAACUGCAUUCGAAACUGGCAGGCUUGGGUCUUGUAGAGGGGGGUAGAAUUCCAGGUGUAGCGGUGAAAUGCGUAAGGAUCUGGAGGAAUACCGGUGGCGAAGGCGGCCCCCUGGACAAAGGCUGACGCUCAGGUGCGAAAGCGUGGGGAGCAAACAGGAUUAGAUACCCUAGUAGUC
rnacentral:rRNA from 1 species